ACAACAGGUUGAUAUUCCUGUACUACCGAUAACCGUUUGAGAGAGGGGAUGACACAGUAGGAUAAGCUAAGCACACUGUUGGUUAUGUGUGCCCAAGCAUUGAGGCAGUCAAAGUAGGCAAAUCCGCGUUGAUAAUGCUGGGAUGUGAUGGGGAGCGAAAUUUAGUAGCGAAGUAGCUGAUUUCACACUGUCAAGAAAAGUCUCUAUCGAGGUUAAAGGUACCCGUACCGCAAACCGACACAGG
rnacentral:rRNA from 1 species